ensembl:lncRNA
CGGACUUCGCCCUGUGCGCCAUCCUGAGCGGCCCCCGGCCCCCGCGCGCACCCGGGGCCGCUCGGGUGCACCCGCCGAUCCGCGCGAGUCCCCGCGCACCUGCCCCGAGACCGGGGCUCUUCGCCGCUCGUCUAAACCACCACGCGGUGCGACUCCCGACUUGCCCGUGUAGCCCGCUGAAGCGUGAGGUCCCCGCUGGCCUCGCCACGACCCUGCGCGCGCCCCGCUGGGGCCUGAUUAGCGUGCGGCCACGCAGACAGCAGGAAAUAGAAAGUCUCAGGAAACCAUUGCCGAGGGCGGGCCACGGCGGUAUGCCGAAUUACAUCUACAUGGCUAACAGAUGAGGAAGCUGACACUACAGAGAAAGCCAUAGGAUCUCCCUGUGGGAGCAUCUCCAGUGUCUGCCCUGAGCUGGUUCUUCUGCCCUAAGGACUUUGGUCAGACAGGCAGGUCUGAGCAUCACAGAAUCCUGACAUGCACUGAGUUCUUAAUAAAUGCCAGUAAAUCAGACAACAGCCCCCCCACCCCCACCCUUAUAUAACCUCUCUGGUGUCCUGUGCUUUUCCUCUGUGCCAUUAAUUACAGCCUCCAAUUACAGUCAACAUUUGAACUACAUGGUUUGAACUGCACAGGUCCACUUAUACACAAAUUCUUUUCAAUAAUAAAUACCAUGGUACUGCACAGUCUGUGGUUGGUUAAAUCUGAGGGUGUGGAGUUGUGGAUGAAAAGGAAUCAUGUAAUGGAGGGAUGACUCUAAGUUAUAUACUGAUUUUUGAGGGUCGGUGCCCCUAACCCCUGCAUUGUUCAAGGGUCCAUUGUAUAUACUUAUUUGGUGGAAGUCAAUCCUUCUGCACCCAUCUCUUGAUGACAAACACCAAGUCUGUUUUGUUCAAUACCUGUGCACUAGCAAAGAGCCUGGCACAGUGGAGGCUCUUGCUAAAGAGGUUCUAGGUUAAUGAAUGAAAAACAGGCCUUCUCAUAGCAGUUCUGCACAAUUGUGAUACUUGACCACUUUUCUGCCUUAAUUGCUAAUCAAUUAAAUGGGAGUAAUAAUAUAUCUUUCUCAAGGAUAUAUUAUUGCCCCUGUAGCUUGGGAAAUGUUGCUGUUCCCUUAGAGGAUCCAUCUCCCAGAGGCUUCUCCAACCACAGCCAAUGUGUUCUCUUUCUCCACCUAUGAAGUAUGGAAGGAGAUGUUAACCUUUCACAAGAGUCAAUGCAAUUCUUAAUUUGUACCCCAAACAGAAGUUUGGACGUGCCAUGUUUUGAAGGAAAAUGAGCUCAGAAACUAUUUUCAGGAACUCCUGAAACUGAGGCUCUUCCAUGGCCACCAUUGGUCAUGGAUCAUUUGUCUGAAACCUUCUGUUAUGCUCGC